rnacentral:lncRNA from 1 species
GUGAGCACCACCACGUCUGGCAAUUUUUGUAUUUUUAGUGGACAAGGGGUUUCACCAUGUUGGCCAGGCUGGUCUUGAACUCCUGACUUCAAGUGACCCACCUACCUUGGCCUCCCAAAGUGUUGGAAUUACAGGCGUGAGCCGCUGUGUCCAGCCACCAGCCUCUUCUUGAUGGAGAGACUGACAUCUGUGGCUUCACACCAGGCUCUCUGCAGUGAAUAAGCUUGAACCUGCGUUAUUUUCUAGCUCUGAAACUAGCUGUGAUCUUUGGGUUCUAUCAUUGCCCCAUUUUACAGAUGAAGAAACAGAGGCUUUGGCUGCUUGCCCGAGAUCCUGUGGCUGUUCUGGAGGUCAGACGUCUAAAAUCAAGGUGUCAACAGGACUGUGUUCCCUUCUGGAGGAAACAGAUGAACCCAUUUCCUCGCCUUUUUCAGUGUCUAGGAGCCGCCUGCAUUCCUUGGCUCGUGGCCCCUUUCUUGGAAUCACUGCAGUCUCUGCCUUUGUCACUGAGUCUCCUUAACUCUGACCCUCCCACCUCCCUCUUAUAAAGACCCCUGUGACGAUAUUGGGCAUAUCCAGAUAAUCCAAGAUAAUCUCCCCCAUUUUAAGAGCCUUAAUCCCAUGCACAAAGUCCCUUUUGCCGUGUGACAGAACAUAUCAUAUCCACAGGUCUUGAGGAUUCAGACGUGCACACCUUUUUUUUUUUUUUUUUUUUUUGAGACAGGUCUCUCGCUCUGUCACCAAGGCUGGAGUACAGUGGUGCAAUCUCAGCUUACUACAACCUCCACCUCCUGGGUUCAAGUGAUUCUCCUGCCUCAGCCUCCCGAGUAGCUGGAAUUACAGGUGCCCACCACCAUGCCCAGCUAAUUUUUUAUUUUUAGUAGAGAUGGGGUUUCGCCAUGUUGGCCAGGCUGGUCUUGAACUCCUGACAAGUGAUCCGUCUGCCUCGGUCUCCCAAAGUGCUGGGAUGACAGGUGUGAGCCACCACACAGGCUGGACGUGCCCAUCUUUGAGGGGACCAUGACUCAGCCGACUGCAGCAUGCACAUGCAGUCUCUCUGGCCAUGCUCCUCCCUGCUUUAAAUUCCUCCAUGGCUCCUGUGGACCCCUGGAUGAAGCCCCAUGUGCCUGCCUGUCUUUAGGCCUCUGCCAGCUUCUCUCGCCCUCCUCCUGCCCCCUCCAGCCUCGCGGGCCAUCCCAGCCUUCCCCGCCGUGUUCAUGUAACUUCCCCAGUCUGCAAUGCCUCCCACUUCCUUCUUUGUCUGACCAGGCUAUUUAUUCAUCUGGGCCCCAGCUAUAUUUGUUUCUGCUUACAGGAAGCCUUCACCCCAGCCCUGUUCCCUGCCGCUGUCCCAUGCUUGUGUCUCCAGCGAGGAAGGCUUCUCCGAGCUCCAAAAGGCAUUCUGGAUGCUCUAGUUGAAGGGCAGGUGGGUGGGGGGUGGAGACCCAUCUUGGGAACCUGCCCUUAAGUGUGCACACAAGCAGAUCUCCAAUUCCUCAGUCGCCCCUCAAGAUUCAGGGCUGGUUCCCUAGAAAUCAGGUCGAGGCUGUGCAGCUGGGUGCUGUGCCUGCUAUUGUAUGUGAUACUCAACAAACUUAGGAGGCCCCAUGUUAUAUGCAAGGAAACAGAGAGAGUAAGCCAGUGAUCCAGGGUCACACAGCAAAUGGCAACAGGCUGAGAGAUUUGGUCCCAGGGAGUCUAGCUAUGGAGCAGCAAUGCAUAUAGUCAGUGUCUGGCUUUGAGCCGGGAGUCUCCCACUCACUCAUGAGCUGUGUGACCUCAAGGAGGUUUCUUACCCUCUCUGUGCCUCACAGGCUUUUUAACAAAUUAAAAUCCACAGAAGCCUUAAUAGACAGCGUGGCGUAGCAAUCACUCUGUGUUACCUCGUAUUAUUUUUUCUUUUCUUGAGAUGGGGUCUCGCUUGUUGCCCUGGCUGGUCUUUAACUCCUGGGCUUGAGUGAUACUCCUGCACUGACCUCCGAGUAGCUGGAACUACUACAGGCACUUGUCACUGUGCCCGGUUAGCUUCUAUUAUUAUUAUUUGUUUUGAGAUGGAGUCUUGCUCUGUUGCCCAGGCUGGAAUGCAAUGGUGCAAUCUCUGCUCACUGCAACCUCUGCCUCCCUGGCUCAAGCGAUUCUCCCAUUUCAGCCUCCUGAGUAGCUGCCAUUACAGGCACCUGCCACCACAC